rnacentral:siRNA from 1 species
UUGGUCCACAACGGUUUAUUGUCU